rnacentral:rRNA from 1 species
GACAGAGGUGCCGAGCGUUAGGCGGAAUCACUGGGCUUAAAGCGUGUGUAGGCGGAUCGUUAAGUGCCUUGUGAAAUCCCACGGCUCAACCGUGGAACUGCUUGGCAUACUGGCGAUCUUGAGCCACUUAGGGGCUACCGGAACAAACGGUGGAGCGGUGAAAUGCGUAGAUAUCGUUUGGAACGCCGAUGGUGAAAACAGGUCGCUGGGGCUGUGCUGACGCUGAGACACGAAAGCCAGGGGAGCGAACGGG